rnacentral:rRNA from 1 species
UACGGGGGGAGCAAGCGUUGUUCGGAUUUACUGGGCGUAAAGGGCGCGUAGGCGGUCAGCACAAGUCAGUUGUGAAAUCUCCGGGCUUAACUCGGAAAGGUCAACUGAUACUGUGCGACUAGAGUGCAGAAGGGGCAACUGGAAUUCUCGGUGUAGCGGUGAAAUGCGUAGAUAUCGAGAGGAACACCUGCGGCGAAAGCGGCUCACUGGACCACAACUGACGCUGAGGCGCGAAAGCUAGGGGAGCAAACAGG